ACACACUCUCUCGCUCUCUUUCUCAUUCUCCUUUCCCUCCUCUCCAUCUCCCUAUUGCAUUGUGUCUGACUGAUUUUUAGAGCACCUUCGCUGUUUCCCCCUUCUCAUUCCCUUUCUAUAAAAUAUCUAGACAGGAAGGAGGUGGCUGCAGAAGCUGAACAAUCUUAUAUUCUGCCUGCAAUGUCAUCGUUUCUUUCCCCCAUUUUAGGGGGCUGAAGUUGCCCAGGAAGGGAUGCAGAGGAGCUGGAAAGGAAGGGGGGAGCUCUCCAGAGGCAGCUGCGUACAGGGGCAGGGACUGCCGCCAGAUGUGCCUGCCUUUCUGGGCUUUGAUGCGAAAGGGGCAGCAGGAGGAAAUAUUGGGAGACAAAAGCCCCGGUUUAAAUGAUCAUUUUCUUUAUUUAACAUGGCAGCAGACACUCUCUGCGUAGGAUCAUCAUGCCAAGCAUAAACUGGACUUUCCCACUUGCCUGGCAGGAGUCAGACAGAUCCCUGUGUGCUAAAUGAGCAUCUGAGAUGUCCUUGGCGUGUACACCCCUAUGGAAUCCAGUUCAUCUUCAAUCUGUCAGAAAACAUCAGAGUUGGUUUUGACUCCUUAUGUCCUGGGCCUGUGCACAAAAGACCUUGUGUGGAGGAAAAUGAGAUCCUGAGUGCAGUCUACAAUGUCAUUGACUCUGAAGAAGGACUCAGAGACCCAUUGGUGUUUAAUGACCCUUACUGGCCUAUGCAAUAGGAACUGUAGGAAAAUCAGGUCUUGGGAGAUUCAGAGGUGCCCUUCCAACACCACAUGCAUCUCCCUGAGUCCAGCUCAGCCCUUAGAGAGAUCUUCUGCUCCUCUCCAGCUCUGGGCAAAGCUUCUAGCCUUCAAAGGUGUAAACCUUUCAGAAUAAUGCACCAUACAGUACCCUGGAUGCACAGGUCAAGCCAGAAAGAUGACAAUGGAUGUUAUAGGAUUUUUGUUAUUACUUUGGGAGGAAAACUAUUGAUGGUGUUAAUGUCCAAUGAAAUGAGGCUGGAUCUGGAAGAAUUUGGCUUGACUUUCCUACAUAAUUAAGGAUUUGCAGUUUGGGCCAUGCCAAGAACCACAUCUGUACUGAAAUCAAUUAUCUGUGUUUGAAACACAAGAAAUAAGAAGACCAUUUUGAGAAGAGCAGAGUGUAGCCUCAAGAAAAUCCCUGUCAUAUGCACUCUGGGAUUUGGACUCAAAUCCUAAUUAUACAGUAUUCACAUUUGGAGUGAUCUACUAUGUGUACCGACAUUGGCACACUCCAUAACACAAUCUUGUAAUCGCCAUACACAAUUUACUAAGAGCUAUGUUGCUGUGUUCUAAAGAUGAUCCUACUGUGAUUCCAGCGUUUAUAUUGCUUCUGCCAUUUUCAUGUCCUGGCUGGCUGGAAAGUGCCUGCAUACUGGACUUUUCAAUGACACACAGAUAAAAAAGCAAACUCCCUCAAGCCAAGCGGAAAAGGAUUUAAAACUCAGUGUGCAUCCCUGUUGGGGCAAGAAAGCCUAUUGCAGAAACAAAGAGUGAAGAGAAAAUUCUAUACUUGGAAGCGUCACAACGACACAACCACAGCUUUUCAGGUGAAGAAACUCCACCAUCCUGAACAUGGAAGUACACUCAGAGCUGAAUGCUAUGGCUACAUUUUGGGAAGUAGGAGAUGAAACCUGCCAAUUCUUCUGAACCGGAGUGUGCUGCUUUCCUAACAAACAUACCAUAUCUAACAUAUUUUGUCACUGACGCCUGAACUGAUUACUACCACCACGAUUUUAUGGAAGGUGGAUUUCUAUCCAAAGGCAUAUGAGUGGCUGCAGAAUUUUAAGCCUAAAGGUUCCAAACAGCAUUGUCUGUGCACCAAAUCCAAGGAAGACUCUCAUGAAAAGUCCUCUUGAAAUUUUGAACUUCCUAAUUCAGUGUCUGGUAAGUAUGAAAUGGCAAAAUAUCUUAUAAUUCCUGAAAGAGUUUGAUUUUUUUUUGAGUAGAAAACUUGUCUGAGAAAAAAAGUCAUAUACAUAAGUCAUAUAAAGUCUUAUAAAUAAAUUAGGUGUGCCUCAUCAGAACAUAUCAGUAGAAGUUCUGCUUAAUUCCAUAGAAGAAUCGCCAUACAUUCAAGGUACAGAGGUCAGCCUUGCGUAUUAAGUACUUGAUAUUUUUGCCUCCAGUGUGUAAGCUCUAGGGACUAACUCAUGCUAACCAAACUCAAGUAUGAUAGAUAAAUCAGAAUCCUAAUUUACACACUUGUACUGAGUUAUAAAUAUAUACAUAUAUUAAUAUACAAUCCUCUCUCUUACAGAAAGAUCUCUUUAGGAAACCAAAUUGCCAGCCAAAAUUCAGUUGGUGAAUUCAAGGUGAUAUUUUUAAAGGGUUUUUUGUUUUUGGUAAAAUGUAAGUUUCAAGUCAUUUUAACAAGUGUUGAGUCAUCCUUAGCCCCACCAAAAACAGAUUUGAUGAUCAAGCAGUUUUGAAAAAUUAAACAAUUUAGAAAUGACUAUUUCAAAAUUCAGCAGCUUAACACAACACUCUAUUAUUUCUUAAAAUUUCUGUACGUUAGGAAUUCAGAAAAGGUUUGACUGGACAAGGCUUGGUGUCUCCUGUAUCUUG